rnacentral:rRNA from 1 species
GAUGAACGCUGGCGGCGUGCCUAAUACAUGCCAGUCGAGCGAACAGACGAGGAGCUUGCUCCUCUGACGUUAGCGGCGGACGGGUGAGUAACACGUGGAUAACCUACCUAUAAGACUGGGAUAACUUCGGGAAACCGGAGCUAAUACCGGAUAAUAUAUUGAACCGCAUGGUUCAAUAGUGAAAGACGGUUUUGCUGUCACUUAUAGAUGGAUCCGCGCUGCAUUAGCUAGUUGGUAAGGUAACGGCUUACCAAGGCGACGAUGCGUAGCCGACCUGAGAGGGUGAUCGGCCACACUGGAACUGAGACACGGUCCAGACUCCUACGGGAGGCAGCAGUAGGGAAUCUUCCGCAAUGGGCGAAAGCCUGACGGAGCAACGCCGCGUGAGUGAUGAAGGUCUUCGGAUCGUAAAACUCUGUUAUUAGGGAAGAACAAAUGUGUAAGUAACUAUGCACGUCUUGACGGUACCUAAUCAGAAAGCCACGGCUAACUACGUG